AGGGUUAGAGGAAGUUAGAGGAAGAGGACAAGGAGGAGCAAGAAGAGGACGAGGAGGGGAAAGAGGAAGGGUAAGAAGAGUAAGAAAUAGAAUAACUGAUGACAUCAGAGCUACAAUAGUGGACCAUGUCAUCAACCAUGGGAUGACCCUGAGGGAAGCUGGCCAACGGGUUCAGCCUAAUUUGAGCCGCUACACUGUGGCAAGCAUCAUUAGGACAUUUCGAAAUGAGAAUCGAAUUGCUAGAUGUCCACAUGUUGGGGGCAGAGGAAGAAUGUUCACUCCAGAGCAAGAGACCCAUAUAGUGAACAUGGUGAUUGCCAAUAAUGCAAUAAGACUGCGCGAAAUACAGCAGCACAUAAUUGAUAAUGACACCAUCUUUCAACUAUACACAGUGUAAGCAUUUCUGCACUAAGUCGUGUACUUGCGCGCCACAGAAUAAGAAUGAAGCAAAUUUAGUUCCUUUCGAGAGAAACACAGAACGUGUAAAGCAGCUGCGAUAUGACUAUGUGCAGGUAAGCUAUAGUGUCAUUGGUUCUGAAUUUGGAAGUGCAUACUGUAGUGCUACGCAUGGGCCUGAUAUGUCAUCAUAUGGGACAAUGUUAGUUUCCAUAGGGCUGCUUUGGUCCGCAACUGGUUUACAGACCACCCAUUCUUCAUGGCACUCAACCUCCCUCCAUACUCUCCAUUCUUAAAUCCCAUCGAGGAGUUCUUCUCUGCCUGGCGCUGGAAAGUGUACGACCGUCAUCCUCAUCAACAGGUAGCCCUUUUACAGGCAAUGGAGGAGGCAUGUGGAGAUACUGACCAGGUAUCAUGUCAGGCCUGGAUACGGCAUUCAAGGAGAUAUUUUCCCCGGUGCCUUGGACUGGAGGAUAUCGCAUAUAUAGCAAUUUUCUUUUGUGAAAUUACAAUUUAGUGUUCUGACUUUGUCUUGGUUUUGAUGAGUGUGAAUAAACACCAAUACUGUUGUGGUGGCAGCCCGGC